rnacentral:rRNA from 1 species
UCAAAGAUUAAGCACUGCAUGUCUAAGUAUAAGCAAUUAUACAGCGAAACUGCGAAUGGCUCAUUAUAUAAGUUAUCGUUUAUUUGAUAGUACCUUACUACUUGGAUAACCGUGGUAAUUCUAGAGCUAAUACAUGCUAAAAAUCCCGACUUCGGAAGGGAUGUAUUUAUUAGAUUAAAAACCAAUGCCCUCUGGGCUCCUUGGUGAUUCAUGAUAACUCUUCGAAUCGCACGGCCUUGCGCCGGCGAUGGUUCAUUCAAAUUUCUUCCCUAUCAACUUUCGAUGUUUGGGUAUUGGCCAAACAUGGUUGCAACGGGUAACGGAGGGUUAGGGCUCGACCCCGGAGAAGGAGCCUGAGAAACGGCUACUACAUCCAAGGAAGGCAGCAGGCGCGCAAAUUACCCAAUCCCGAUUCGGGGAGGUAGUGACAAUAAAUACUGAUACAGGGCUCUUUUGGGUCUUGUAAUUGGAAUGAGUACAAUUUAAAUCCCUUAACGAGGAACAAUUGGAGGGCAAGUCUGGUGCCAGCAGCCGCGGUAAUUCCAGCUCCAAUAGCGUAUAUUAAAGUUGUUGUGGUUAAAAAGCUCGUAGUUGAACCUUGGGCCUGGCUGGCCGGUCCGCCUCACCGCGUGCACUGGUCCGGCCGGGCCUUUCCCUCUGUGGAACCCCAUGCCCUUCACUGGGCGUGGCGGGGAAACAGGACGUUUACUUUGAAAAAAUUAGAGUGCUCCAGGCAGGCCUAUGCUCGAAUACAUUAGCAUGGAAUAAUGAAAUAGGACGCGUGGUUCUAUUUUGUUGGUUUCUAGGACCGCCGUAAUGAUUAAUAGGGACAGUCGGGGGCAUCAGUAUUCAAUUGUCAGAGGUGAAAUUCUUGGAUUUAUUGAAGACUAACUACUGCGAAAGCAUUUGCCAAGGAUGUUUUCAUUAAUCAGGAACGAAAGUUAGGGGAUCGAAGACGAUCAGAUACCGUCGUAGUCUUAACCAUAAACUAUGCCGACUAGGGAUCGGACGAUGUUAUUUUUUGACGCGUUCGGCACCUUACGAGAAAUCAAAGUGCUUGGGCUCCAGGGGGAG